rnacentral:rRNA from 1 species
UACGAAGGGGGCGAGCGUUGUUCGGAAUUACUGGGCGUAAAGGGCGCGUAGGCGGCGACCCAAGUCAGAUGUGAAAGUCCUGGGCUUAACCUGGGGACUGCAUUUGAUACUGGGUUGCUUGAAUUCGGGAGAGGAUAGCGGAAUUCCCAGUGUAGAGGUGAAAUUCGUAGAUAUUGGGAAGAACACCGGUGGCGAAGGCGGCUAUCUGGACCGACAUUGACGCUGAGGCGCGAAAGCGUGGGGGAGCAAACAGG